rnacentral:tRNA from 1 species
GGUCCAGUGGCGGAAUUUGGUAUACGCGCGUCACUUAAAAUGACGUGAGCGCAAGCUCGUGUGGGUUCGAGUCCCACCUGGACCA